CCCUGCUGACUCAGUGGUAAAGAAUCUGCCUGCAAUGCAGGAGGCCCAGGUUGGAUCCCUGGAUCAGGAA
rnacentral:tRNA from 1 species